GAUGUAGAACGUAGCGAAAUGCGAUACCUGGUGUGAAUUGCAGAAUCCCGCGAACCAUCGAGUCUUUGAACGCAAGUUGCGCCCGAGGCCACCCGGCCGAGGGCACGCCUGCCUGGGCGUCACGCCAAAACACGCUCCCACCCCCCCUCACCGGGGGAGCGGGACGCGGCGUCUGGCCCCCCGUGCCGCGAGGCGCGGUGGGCCGAAGAUCGGGCUGCCGGCGUACCGUGCCGGGCACAGCGCGUGGUGGAUCUCUACUCGGCGCAGUGCACCCGGCGCGUAGCCGGCGCAGCGGCCCCUAAGGACCCAACGAACGGAGCGCGAGCCGCUCCGACCGCGACCCCAGGUCAGGCGGGACUACCCGCUGAGUUUAAGCAUAUCAAUAAGCGGAGGA
rnacentral:misc_RNA from 1 species